rnacentral:tRNA from 1 species
GCGAAGGUGGCGGAAUGGCAGACGCACUAGCUUGAGGUGCUAGCGGGUAACACCGUGGGGGUUCAAGUCCCCCCCUUCGCA